AUUUCUUAUAGCUACUGUAUUCAUUGGUUGCAUAUCUUGAAUAAAACGUAAUAAUCUAUUUUUCUUAUGCACCAUAAAUCAACAACUAGAAUAUGGAGCAAAAAAAGGCUCCAAAAUUUUCAUUUGCAUCUUUUCUUUCAAUAAUUCCACCAAUUUAGGUAAAUGUACCCUUGGCACAAGAAUUGGCCUUAAGUUCCAAGGUACAUGAGGUACUGUAAAGAUAACCAUAGGAGCAACAAUUUUAGGAUCUAUUCAUGCUAUUUCACAAGACCCAAAGGCAAAUGAUUUACCUCGUUUCACAAGCAUUUUUUGAAAAUAUUCAAUUUCUGUUGGAAAUAAAGAACCAUCACAUCUAAUCUUCAAUUCUUCAAAAGUCUCCUUUAUAAAUUGAUGUCCAAUCUUCUUUGGAUCUCUUAAAUUCUCUUCUUUUGAUGCUUCCUCCAUUUGUUCCUUAGAAUCUUCUAGUAAAGGUUCGGCAACAGGUUUUAUUUUUUUAUCUAAUGUUUUAUAUUUUAUCUCUAUAAUAACUUUUGGUGCUUGAAAAGAUUUAAAUAUAGUAUAAACCUCCCUCGAAUGAAUUUCUACAAUCUUAUCAUUAUUUCUUAAUCUAAUAGAUGCAAUUAAUUCUAAAGAAUCUUCCAAUCCAUUU
rnacentral:lncRNA from 1 species